rnacentral:rRNA from 1 species
CCUACGGGAGGCAGCAGUGGGGAAUAUUGCACUAUGGGGGAAACCCUGAUGCAGCGACGCCGCGUGAGUGAAGAAGUAAUUCGUUACGUAAAGCUCUAUCAGCAGGGAAGAAACACUGACCUUAUGGUCAGCAGACGGUACCUGAGUAAGAAACCCCGGCUAACUACGUGCCAGCAGCCGCGGUAAUACGUAGGGGGCAAGCGUUAUCCGGAUUUACUGGGUGUAAAGGGAGCGUAGGCGGGGCGCCAAGUCUGGAGUGAAAGGCCGCAGGUUAACUGCGGAAGUGCUUUGGAAACUGGCGAACUAGAGAGCGGGAGGGGUAAGCGGAAUUCCUAGUGUAGCGGUGAAAUGCGUAGAUAUUAGGAGGAACACCGAUGGCGAAGGCGGCUUACUGGACCGUAACUGACGUUGAGGCUCGAAAGCGUGGGGAGCGAACAGGAUUAGAUACCCUGGUAGUC